rnacentral:tRNA from 1 species
GGGCUUGUGAGGUAGCCAGGAUUAUCCUGCCGGCCUUCGGAGCCGACCACCCGGGUUCGAAUCCCGGCAAGCCCU